UCCCUAGUGGUCCAGUGGUUAGGAUUUUGUGUUUCCAUGUCAUGGGGCAUGGGUUUAAUCCCUAUUCAGGGAA
rnacentral:tRNA from 1 species